GGUGGCGAACGGGUGAGUAACACGUGGGUGAUCUGCCCUGCACUCUGGGAUAAGCCUGGGAAACUGGGUCUAAUACCGGAUAGGACCAUGCUUUAGUGUGUGUGGUGGUAAAGUUUUUUCGGUGUAGGAUGAGCCCGCGGCCUAUCAGCUUGUUGGUGGGGUAAUGGCCUACCAAGGCGGCGACGGGUAGCCGGACUGAGAGGUUGGUCGGCCACAUUGGGACUGAGAUACGGCCCAG
rnacentral:rRNA from 1 species